GGGGUGUGCUCAGAGUAGGGGACCUAAAGAAAUGGCUCCUUUGUUCACAACACACCCAACAGGAAUCUGGGUUCAUUGUAACAAGAGGCAAAAAAUUUGUGGCCUUCUAUGAAUGAGUAUCCAACACAU